UAAAUCAAAAGCCCCCUUUUACAGUUGACCUGAGAGUGUUCUUCCAUCACUAAAAAUGGCGUCUGCUUCAUUCAGCGAUCUCUGCUCUAUUCUUAAUUCUCCUUCCUCAUGGCGCAAAAUAGGCAAUGUUCACAAGCACCGGCCCUUCAUUUCUGUUUCAAUUUCUCCCAAAAAAGCAAUCCAAUUCGUCCCUUCUUCCUUAUCAUCGAUCCAACCUGAAAACCCAGGGGAGUUUUCAGCUUUUGUCGACUUUCCAGCAACUACCCAUUUUUUUCAUGGCAUAAAUUACAAUAAGUUGGUAGUGGGUGGUAAGAGUAAUUUGUUAAUGGGCAGCUCUUGAAAGUCCACUCUUUGGUGGAGUUGGGAUUGAGAGGAAAUUGAAAGAUCGUUCGGCGUUCGCACAAACUGAAGCUGUUCGACAGUUGACUGGUUCCCUUACAUCUGCUGCCGGGUUUCGCUUUGCUGUUGUAUGUCCUGCAAGACAAUCUCCCUCUUUCUCUAUAUCUCUAGUGUAUAACCCAUACAAAUUUGUGGGAAUUUUUACUUGGAAUUUAGAGCACUAAUUUUCAUCUGAGCUGCAUUGUUUGUGCUUGCAAUUGAUCUGGGUUGCAAUUAUGUAAUGCUUUAAUUUGUUGUUUCAUUGGUGGAUGUCAGCCGAUGAUAGUAAGUGAUGCCAUAUUAUUUGAGAAAAUCUCGCAAUUUCCCACUCCCCU
rnacentral:lncRNA from 1 species